AGAGUUUGAUCCUGGCUCAGGAUGAACGCUGGCGGCGCGCCUAACACAUGCAAGUCGAACGGCACCCAUCUUCGGAUGAAAGCGAGUGGCGAACGGCUGAGUAACACGUGGAGAACCUGCCCCCUCCCCCGGGAUAGCCGCCCGAAAGGACGGGUAAUACCGGAUACCCCGGGGUGCCGCAUGGCACCCCGGCUAAAGCCCCGACGGGAGGGGAUGGCUCCGCGGCCCAUCAGGUAGACGGCGGGGUGACGGCCCACCGUGCCGACAACGGGUAGCCGGGUUGAGAGACCGACCGGCCAGAUUGGGACUGAGACACGGCCCAGACUCCUACGGGAGGCAGCAGUGGGGAAUCUUGCGCAAUGGGGGGAACCCUGACGCAGCGACGCCGCGUGCGGGACGAAGGCCCUAGGGUCGUAAACCGCUUUCAGCAGGGAAGAGGCCGCAAGGUGACGGUACCUGCAGAAGAAGCCCCGGCUAAAUACGUGCCAGCAGCCGCGGUAAUACGUAUGGGGCGAGCGUUAUCCGGAUUCAUUGGGCGUAAAGCGCGCGUAGGCGGCCUGGCAGGCCGGGAGUCAAAUCCGGGGCUCAACCCCCGCCCGCUCCCGGAACCUCCGGGCUUGAGUCUGGCAGGGGAGGGUGGAAUACCCGGUGUAGCGGUGGAAUGCGCAGAUAUCGGGUAGAACACCGGUGGCGAAGGCGGCCCUCUGGGCCACGACUGACGCUGAGGCGCGAAAGCUGGGGGAGCGAACAGGAUUAGAUACCCUGGUAGUCCCAGCCGUAAACGAUGGACGCUAGGUGUGGGGGGGACGAUCCCCCCGCGCCGCAGCCAACGCACUAAGCGUCCCGCCUGGG
rnacentral:rRNA from 1 species